UUUUUCUUCUCUCUGAAGAAACAGUUCUUUCAAAGCAGAUCUUCUGCCGACAAAAUCCCUCAGUUUUUGUUGAUCAGGUGGCAUUUCAGAGGACAUCUUUAGCAGUAUGGACAUUUAUCUGACCUCUCACAAAGGAGAUGUGAUAAUAGACUGUGUCUUGAGUCUCAGAAACACAGACUGGGAGUGAAUUCAGACUCUGAAGACUAAGAGAAGUAUCCUAAAUUAGGGGAAAAGAAGAAAGCCAAGGGUGAAACAAAGAGAGCUAAGUUGGUACACCGUUGAGAAAGAGGCCCUGCAUACUGUUAAUGAAUCCUUCACUAAUCAACACCCUGCUGAGAUCUUCCAUGUGGCAGAGAACCUGGCUGCUGGAAGCUGCCGCUCACAGCCACACUUAUUCACCACCAUAGGAGGGGAAAAUGCUGCUGAACCCUUUGACGCCCACCCCUUGAUCCUCCCGACCCAGCUUCUGUUUGAAAAGCUUCAGAGAUCAGUGUUCACUACCCUUCUAUUGGUGUUCCCACCCCAUAGAACUGUGAUAUACUAUGACAAAUCCUCCUUGGGUUUAAGUCCCUAUGGACCUUAAUGGAAAGUGGCCAGUAUUUCUGAUAGCCUCGGUGAUUGGCACACACAUACUAUAAAUGAAUUUUCACAUAGCACAAAGCCAUGUGCAAGGUGGCCUCUGAAGCCAGGAUGCUGUAGCAGAUCCAUGCGCUUGGAAUCCGAGGGGCAGCAGUUCGCCACCAAAGGAAAUACUGUGACCAGAAGAAGAGAAAAGGGGGAGCUGGCUGGGAAAAUAGUAAGUCUCCCCCACAGUCUGUACUGGGUAGGUAUCUAGUAGGA